GUCUAGCAUGGCUUCCCUCUGUGAGAUUCCACUAAGCUGCUGACUCAGACAGAAGCAGGCAUCAUCUAGUCAAACCACGGUGGAGCUUGGGGACUCUGAUGGAAGAAGAGAAUGAAAAGGAUUAUGGCCUCUAAGGAUAUAGGCACUCCACAGGCUUUGUCUUCAUGCAGGCUAUGGUGUUGUGAAGACAAGAUACCACAUGUGCAGCUGUGAAUAAGUCUGAGAAGGCUGACUUCUUGGAUUUCUGAAGCAUUACUAAGUGAUCCAGAGGAAAUCAGCACCCCCUGCUCAGCAGAGCUCUGGGAAUGCUGACACUCUUGCUUCAUGUUUAUAUUAACCUAGGUCAAAAGAUCACCUGUCAGGGUCUCCGGGGAAGGCAUCAUCCCAACCUUCCAGCAUCAGUGAGCAAGUGCAACAGAUUAAGAAGUUUGUAGAAAUUGACUAAGGAGCUCCAGAAGAUGACAUGUGAGUUGGAAAAUUCUCGUGCAUAGGUAACCAUUGCACCAACAGCAUUUGAAGAGAAGUAGUCAUUGUACCCACUUCUUUGUAGACAGUCCUGACCCCUGUGUGAUAACCUCAGUUUUCUCAGACCACAGGAAAAUGCAACUGUAAUGUCCUCAUGUACAAAUUAAUUUUCUUAUGUUCCUCUCAGAAUCACAACAUAAAGAAAGGAUAGUAGUGUGAUAGGAAGCUAUUUUAUUUCUCAGAAAUGCAGAAGCAGUGGUUUGAAUAAGUGUCUUGGGUUACGGAAAGUAAUGUGUGAGCUCUCAUCAUGGAUUUUAAUAGACAGAGAAUGUAUUUUCUGUCCUCAGACACACAGAAAGUUGGUAAGCUACAGAAGCAUAGUAACUUAAACUUAGAUAAGUAAACUUUUAUUUUUUUAUUUAAAGUUUUAUUUUAUUUGUUUUCAAUGAGUAUCUGUAACUCUCAGACACAACAGAAGUGGAAGUUUAAUGCCAUUAUACAUGGUUUUAUGCCACUAUGAUUUUGCUGGUAGUUGAACUCAGGACCUAUGGAAAAACAGUUAGGACUCUUAAAUGCUGAAUCAUCUUGCCAGUCUAAAUUACUUUUGACGAUGAUGGUGAUGAAGAUGAUGAUGAUGAUGAUGAUUACCAUUAUUAUUAUUAUACUUAAACUCUAAAGGGAUCAAGAUUUCCCCUCCUCCAAAGCUCUUUCCCCUCUCCUGUCUCAAGAUAUCCUACAAUAAAGAAGAUACCAUCACAGCUUCCCAUCCUCCCCAGCACUGAAGAAAGAAAAGUUUUACUUUGUCAUGGUUAUGGACAUAUUCUUGUUUACUGGGCUCAGAGCUUCAGAUCUGAUGGAGGGAGACUAUGGAAAUGGAAUCUCCUUUGGAGGAAUCUGCUUACCUUGUAGGAACGGGGAAACAGUGAGCAAAAGUAAGAUGUUGUUCCACGACUUCAUCCCUUGCUAAGAAAAAAGUCUAUUUUUCACAGCUUGGGAACUGGGUAAGCAGUCUAAGCAAGCAUGGCUAAUAAGCCAAACCAGAUGGGUAAACAUUUGUCCAUUGGAUACGAAGGGGGAGCAUUUAAUUGACUAUGCUGACUGUAUCUCCUGUCCACUGUGUUCUAAUCCCAUGCAAGGAAAGUUCGGUGGAUUUUGUCUGUCCUGUGUCAGAACAAUAGUGUUUUCCAUUCUGAAUGCUUUUUCUUCACUGAUAUGAACCUUGAGAGAACAGUGGGAGCCAUGGAAAGCCACAGCCAACAACAUUCUACAUUCUAGAAUAUCAAGGGCUUCUCUUAAGAAACACUUUCUUGUAGUUGUGAAUUCAGCAGGGAGGAAAAUUACAACCAACCUCUGAUCAAGCAGCAUAAAAAUUAGCACGAGAUAAAGAAAGACUUAAAAUUGAGUCAGAUCUCUGAUACAUAACAAGAAGUGGACCCUGGCACUGUCACAAAUAACAUUAAGGUUAUUUUGUUGAGCAAGAGUUACUCUCCUGGAGUCCUCAGAUGUUCAUAUGUGGUUGAAAAUCUGUCACAGAAGACUGUAUUGAUAUCAUACUCUAAUCCAGAGAGACCAUACAAAAAAGUAUAUUAUUCCUUCUGGAGUAUUGGUUGAAAUUAAUUCACAUCACACAUUUGUAUGUGAGGCUUAAAUUAAUGUUCUACCUAGACAAAAGCAUUAUCUCAAUCCUUGCCUUUGUAAUUUGUUUUGUUUUGUUUUGUUUUGUUUUGUUUUUAAUUUUGAAAAUGGCUUAGUAUUCUUCAGUUAAACAAUUGAACUGAAGUGACUGUUCCUCAGACUGUAUACAUAGAAAACAUCUGAGUAGUAGUUGACAUUUUUAGUCGGGGCGUCUCCCCAUGGAUCUGUUUGUGCCUGAAUAAGCAUGCAUAGACUUAUUUCAGUUAAGGGAAUCAUGUAGUAUACAAAAAAUUAGAGGAUCCAUCUGCUGUAAAUAUUUUCUUUUACUCAGGUGAAGGAAGGUUUAUCAAAGGCUGUGUAUCAAAGGUUGUAGAUAUUACACCAUCCAUAGGAGAUAAUAUAUCAAGAAAGAUUCUGCAGGGAUGCAGAGAUUGACCUAAAUAUCCCCACACAAUUCUAAGCCAGGACGGACAAGAUAUCACUUCACGUGGAAAUUUAAAAUAAUCUGAUGCUAUGGUAUGUGGAGUGUUAAUAAAGAAAAACCACCUAAAAAGCAUAUGCAUAUAUAGAAGAUGCUAUUCAAAAAUAUACAGAGGCAGUUUGGAACCUACAUUUAGCACAAAGAGAUUGAAUCCCCACUUCACAGAUACUGAAUAGAACCACUGAGUAUUAAGAAAUCUAUAUUAGAAAUCACUUGCCUAUCACAUGUCUGUAUAACUAGGUAGUCACAGCAAACAUGACAUUCGGAAAGCAUAGCUUGAACUUGUCAACAAUGGAGGGAGUGCAUGUAGUGAACGAGGUUUGGGCAUGAAACUCAAAAGUCGAAAAUACCACUGAGAUUUGAGUUUUGAGGACAAUAAAUACUUAAUGACUUUUGGGACAAAAUUUGAAUCUAAAGACUCCUAAAAUUAUUUAUCAAUCAGCUCUGAAUCCCUAUGGAGAUUGGUGGAUAUUAUGAAUUUAGUCUGUGCCCCAGAGGUAUAGGUAAAUGGUGUAAUUUGAAGUGAUUAGGUAUGCUAAAGAGGCAUACAAAACUGAGGAGGCCAUGGUAUCAUUGAAUAAGUGUGCUUCUCCAAAACGUAGCAUGAUUUUUUGUGCAGUGAAUUAGACACUAUACACACACGCGCAUGCACACACAUAAACACACAGAUACACAUAUACACACAUACAGAAAAACACACACACAAACUCACACAAACACACACACACACACACACACAAAACCCACAAAUAAUUGACUUCCUCUGUGCUGUGUGUGGCAUGCUGGAAUUAUCCAAGAUAUGAAGAGUAUUCUCCACAAGUAAGUUAAACCCAAACUCAAUGAAAAAUUUAGAAUUCCUCCUCCUUUCUUGAGAAAGCAUUCUGUGCAUGAGUAAUGCUUACAUUUUAAAGUUUAAGAGGGAUGACUUGAAAACAGUAACUACUUAAUCCACGUUGAAACAGCAUUUCAGAGAUGUGUAGUGAUUUAAUUUUGAUUUUAUGAAACUGCAAUUUCUCAGGUCUCAUUAGUGCAGUAUUGAACCAUGUCAUUCUUAAACAUAACUGUAGGGACAGUAAGAGUUUGGAGAUUUCUCUAAGUUGAAAAACCUCAGAAAUCGUAUUAGCAACAACUUAAUUCAAAAAUGGAGAAACUUGUGCUUGGGUAAGGUCCGGUACCUAAGACUGAGCAGCUGGUUCAAAGCCAAGGACAAACAUUGCAUGUAACCAAGGACUGCUGGGUACAGAACCUGUUACUAAAAUGGAGAAAGCUGAAGUCUUCAGGAAAUAUGGAUAAGGAAUACUUGGAAUGGUAGAAAUUAUAUGCUAUAUAUUUAGUGGUACACACUGAGAGGAUGAAUUUUUGAAAUGUUUAUCUCCUUAGGAGUGUAAACAUUUGAGCUAAGUAAAUGCUGUAGCCUAGGUAGGAAAGGGAAGUGAGUUUCCAUUCAGACACUGGAAUUACCUUCAUGCCGAACAUAAACAUGGGAGGGUUUCAAAGAAAUGUUGAAGCAUAUCAAGAGCUUCUGAGCAUCCAGGAGGAGUCUGAGAGGAUUAAUUUGUUCUUGUUAUGAGGGAUUUUCUAGUUUAUUGUUGGAAAUCCAUCAGGAGAAGUUCAAAGUCUAGAAACCAAAUUCUAUACAAGUCUCAUAUUAGCUUUGGAAGACUGUGACCUGUAAAGGCCUCAAAAAGGCAUAGCUAGAUUCACCUGUUAAAAUGUAUUACAAUUGGUGACUGACUGCCUUUCCACUAUGUUCCCAAGGCCAGCCGCAAGGUACGACUGUGGUGCUAAACCUUCGGCUGGAGAAUUCUGCUUAGCUUAAUUACUGUGUUUUGUUUUUGGUUUGAGUUGUGUUUGCUUCAGGUAUUAGUACUGUUGGUUUGGUUGGAAGUUUUGUUAUUCAUUCUUAAUAAAUUUUUGUUCUUUUGGUGAAUUUGCAGUUUUGAUAACAUCAUGCACAUUGGGUUAUGAUUGUAUCAUUAAACCCUUUUUGAAAAAAAAUUAAUAUAUAUUUUUCAGAAUAAAAUGUGUUUUUCAACUCAUAAGAAACAAGUUUUUUCUUGUGUCGUGUUGCACCCUGUAAUCCCAGAAACCAUAUGUAGAGAUAGAUGACUAAAAUUUGCAGGGUGUGGGAUUCACAAU